rnacentral:rRNA from 1 species
GACGAACGCUGGCGGCGUGCCUAAUACAUGCAAGUUGAGCGCUGAAGGUUGGUACUUGUACCAACUGGAUGAGCAGCGCACGGGUGAGUAACGCGUGGGGAAUCUGCCUUUGAGCGGGGGACAACAUUUGGAAACGAAUGCUAAUACCGCAUAAAAACUUUAAACACAAGUUUUAAGUUUGAAAGAUGCAAUUGCAUCACUCAAAGAUGAUCCCGCGUUGUAUUAGCUAGUUGGUGAGGUAAAGGCUCACCAAGGCGAUGAUACAUAGCCGACCUGAGAGGGUGAUCGGCCAAAUUGGGACUGAGACACGGCCCAAACCCCUACGGGAGGCAGCAGGAGGGGAACUUCGGCAAUGGAGGAAAGUCUGACCGAGCAACGCCGCGUGAGUGAAGAAGGUUUUCGGAUCGUAAAACUCUGUUGGUAGGGAAGAAAGUUGGUGAGAGUGGAAAGCUCAUCAAGUGACAGUAACUACACAGAAAGGGACGGCUAACUACGUG